CAUGCAAGUCGAACGAAGUAGCAAUACUUAGUGGCAGACGGGUGAGUAACAUGUAGGUAUCUGCCCUUUGGCCUGGAAUAACACGAGGAAACUUGUGCUAAUACCGGAUAAGUCUUUACAGAGAAAGCUUUAUGCACCAUUGGAUGAGCCUGCACUUGAUUAGUUUGUUGGUGGGGUAAUGGCCUACCAAGACUGUGAUCAAUAGCUGAUUUGAGAGGAUGAUCAGCCACAUUGGGACUGAGACACGGCCCAAACUCCUACGGGAGGCAGCAGUGGGGAAUCUUGCACAAUGGAGGAAACUCUGAUGCAGCGAUGCCGCGUGAGUGAAGAAGGCCCUUGGGUUGUAAAGCUCUUUCGUCGGGGAAGAAAAUGACUGUACCCGAAUAAGAAGGUCCGGCUAACUUCGUGCCAGCAGCCGCGGUAAUACGAAGGGACCUAGCGUAGUUCGGAAUUACUGGGCUUAAAGAGUUCGUAGGUGGUUGAAAAAGUUAGUGGUGAAAUCCCAGAGCUUAACUCUGGAACUGCCAUUAAAACUUUUCAGCUAGAGUAUGAUAGAGGAAAGCAGAAUUUCUAGUGUAGAGGUGAAAUUCGUAGAUAUUAGAAAGAAUACCAAUUGCGAAGGCAGCUUUCUGGAUCAUUACUGACACUGAGGAACGAAAGCAUGGGUAGCGAAGAGGAUUAGAUACCCUCGUAGUCCAUGCCGUAAACGAUGUGUGUUAGACGUUGGAAAUUUAUUUUCAGUGUCGCAGCGAAAGCGAUAAACACACCGCCUGGGGAGUACGACCGCAAGGUUAAAACUCAAAUGAAUUGACGGGGACCCGCACAAGUAGUGGAGCAUGUGGUUUAAUUCGAAGAUACGCGCAGAACCUUACCAACACUUGACAUGUUCGUCGCGACUCUAGAGAUUAGAGU
rnacentral:rRNA from 1 species